rnacentral:rRNA from 1 species
UACGUAGGGGGCGAGCGUUGUCCGGAUUUAUUGGGCGUAAAGAGCGUGUAGGCGGCCAGGUAGGUCCGUUGUGAAAACUCGAGGCUCAACCUCGAGACGUCGACGGAAACCGCGUGGCUAGAGUCCGGAAGAGGAGAGUGGAAUUCCUGGUGUAGCGGUGAAAUGCGCAGAUAUCAGGAAGAACACCAAUGGCGAAGGCAGCUCUCUGGGACGGUACUGACGCUGAGACGCGAAAGCGUGGGGAGCGAACAGG